rnacentral:rRNA from 1 species
UACAGAGGGUGCAAGCGUUAAUCGGAAUUACUGGGCGUAAAGGGUGCGUAGGUGGUUUAUUAAGUUGUGUGUGAAAACCCUGGGCUUAACCUAGGAAUUGCAUAUAAAACUGAUAAGCUAGAGUGCGGUAGAGGGAAGUGGAAUUUCCGGUGUAGCGGUGAAAUGCGUAGAUAUCGGAAGGAACAUCAGUGGCGAAGGCGACUUCCUGGACCGUUACUGACACUGAGGCACGAAAGCGUGGGGAGCGAACAGG